AAUAUUAUUGCUAAUGGUAUUAUAUAAAUAUUUGUUUAUAUAAUAUGAAAACGUUUCUUAUUCAUAUAAUUUUGUCAAACUUAUAAAAUAAAUAUAGCUACUAAUAAGAAAAGAAAUAUAGGUACCUAUUACGUCAACUACGAAUGAUAAAAACUAUUUUCGACGAUGACAAACGACUCCGAUUUUGGGAAUAUCCGUUCGAUCGAUAUCGUAGACGUUUGAACGAAGAGGCGAAUGUAAAAAUGAAAGAAGUAGGAUAGGUUGUUAGGUCGAUGACGAAAACACUUUUAUGACGACAAUACUCUCGCGAAUAACGGUACAUCGAAAAUGAUUUUGUGGGUCCUCCUGCUCGACUAUUUCAGGCUGAUAAAGAAGUAUGACACGAGCUCACGUGCAAAUUAGUUGCAAAGGUGGGCCCUUCUUUUUCUCCUUCUCUUCUUUUUCUUUUAUUUCUCUUCUUACUCUCUCGCUCCUUCCUUUUUCUUACCAUCCUUUUGGGGAUUCCGCCGAGAAAGGAUAACGUUACUUCCAGAUUCCUUCGCCGCCUCUCGUUACAACGGUCGGCACGAUUUUUUUUCAAGCAGCCACGAAGAAAGGGGUGACAGAAAAGAACGCGAUGAAAGUUAACCUUCCUUCCUUCUCUUUUCCGAUACGCAGAGGAAGUCGUCGUCAUCGAUCGUUACGAUCAACCAUCUCCACCUACUUCUCUUCCAUAACGUAUACACAAGUUCGCAUAAUCGAGUGGGUGUGUCCGAUAAGGAACGAACGAAACAACGACAAAUCCAUUGACACACAUUCGAGGCUGAGGACGACGACUCGACUCAAAAUCCAGACAACAUAGAAUUCCAUUCGUGAAGUUUCUUCCGGAGAUACUCGUCGAGAUUCCUUUUUGCUUUCUCAAGCUUUUAUAUAAUCUCGACGCUUACUCCAAACGAUUUGAUAAUGACGGUGAGAACAGCCAGAAGUUAUUUUUAGGUAUGCCCGAUGCGGUUUGUUGAGCGCACGUACUUGGCAAGGAUGCUGCAUUACGGGUCACAGGACCUGCGCGAGAAACACUUGUAACGAAGGAGCCAAUAAGGAAAUUCGAACCGGUGUUGAUCACGUGGUAUGGAUCAUGUGGGGAUUUUAUGGAGCGGCAGCUACGGUUAACCACUGAUUCGACUACCUUUUGGUAAAUGAAUGAACGAGAUUCAAAGAUUUAUAUAGCCGUGUUGUAUUCAUGAUACGUGGUUCGAGUCAUGAUACGAUAAUGAAUCGCGAGCGAAUCUCCAACGAUCGAAAGUGAUUUUCCUCUUCUCUCAAUUGCAUCCUCGCCUUCUUUGGGCGUUCAAGUAUCAAAUUAAUCGAGCGUGUAGUGCAAACGAGUACUUGUAACUAUCUAUAUACGAAGUCUAUCGAGCGUGAAGUUCGAAAAGAUUUCGAAUCGAGAAUCACGCACACUUAGAUGAUGCAAUCUGCUUAUCUAGCUCUUUCAAUAUAAUAUAUUUUACAUUUGUACAUUUUUAUACCAUUUUCUAAAAAUUUAUUGACAUUUUCUUCGCAGCUA